rnacentral:lncRNA from 1 species
CUGACUCACACAGAGGCAGCUUCCAGCCUUCCACAGUUCUUCCAAUUCGACACAGUUAUUUAUUUAUUUUUUUAAGGUCCAAACUCCUGUGCAGAGCAAGCAUCCAAAUGCUGUCAUCCUCUCAGCCCCAUGCUCUAGCUCAUUUUUCACACCACUGGAUUUAAUUUACUAUUAUCGUGCCUGGAAUGUGUUUGCAUCUGUAUUCUUGAGAGAUUGCUAUACAGCUCAUUUGAGGCCUCACAAGAUUAAAACUUGAUGCUUCAGACCCUCUGAGCCCCUUUGUCUGCGUGGAACGGGUCUCUAGUCGCGGGUGGACAAAGCGUAGGAUGAGUGACAAACAGACGCACACAGGAGAGGUCGAGGAAUCUGAAUGUCAUUUUUCAAAUCGAGCAUCAGACUUUUUAUGCAGAAGACAAUAAGGAAGUUGGAUGACAUACCUGCAAGGUACAAAUGAGUUCUAGGAUGGAUUUACCAGCUCUUCUUCUCUCCUGAAGACUGUUGUCCUGCCUAUGCCCAGACCCAUCUACAUCAGAUCUGAGGAGUGAGUCUUCUAAACUAUGAAGGACAUAUUAUAAUAUUCAAUAAACAAUCUGUGGCCUCCAUAUGCACAGAAUGUGAUGCUGGGCAAACAGAGAGCUCUGAGCAAAAGUUCUAAGAAAGAAAGUCUUCUAAUGGAAGCAUCUGCAAGCCUGAUGAACUAAUUUGAACCUCAGUGACCAUGAAGAGUUUGGAAUGUUACAGGUCCAGGGUCUAUUUACAAUUCAUCUUGGGUUAUCUUUAGCUCUCUAAGUAGCCAUUCUUUCCUUAUAUUUGUGUGAACCUAACAUUCUGUGCCUAACAGAUUAAGAAGUCUUUUGGAAUGUAGUAAAUCUGUGGCUUCCACUAAUUGAAAGACUGAGUGUCAUCAGGUAGUACCUGAGCCCUACAGUCAAUACUUCUCUGCAUGUUUUCACUAAUGUACCUGAAAACUGCUUUGAUCUUUUUAGUUUCUUUGUUCUGUUACUAUAAACUAAUUCCACAUUGGAACAUGGAAUUUGACACUACACCCGUGUUCCCAGGCUAUGGUCGCUCUUAUUUGGCUCUGGAAUAAAUUGAAAUGAGAUGUGUGCUUCUGCCUCAACAUUAAAUUUUCUGGUGAUAACCAUUACCCAAAGUGGUUCACAGAAGGUUUUAUCUUGGCUGGGCAAAUCACAGUGGUGGGGGAGACAUGUCAAGGGAGACUGGAGAAGGAAGCUGAGAGAUCCCAUCUUCAACCACAUGUAGAAAGCAGAGUGUAAGGCCUGGAAGUGGGGCCAGGCUAUAAACCCCCAAAGCCCAUCCACAGUUCUGCAAGGAAAGCUUCCAUCCAUGACCUUGCCAGACAAUGCUGGUCGCUGGGGACUGAUGGUGAAGUCCAUGAGUCAGUGAGGGAACAUUUCUUGUUCAAACCAUCACACCAUAUAAAUUUGAGAGACAG